rnacentral:tRNA from 1 species
AGGGGUGUAGCUCCAAAUUGGCAGAGCGCCGGUCUCCAAAACCGGAGGUUGUGGGUUCGAGUCCCGCCACCCCUG